AGAAUCAAGGCCAGAAGACCCCUGGGUGUUUCUCUGUAGGAAUUCAUUUUAAGGAGAGAAAAACCUGAGUAAAUUAAAGUUCGCAGUCCUGGGGCGCUGGCCCAAGGCAGUGGAGCCCCACCACUGGAGGUAUUCAUUGGAAAAAGCAGUGGGAGUGGAGAAUUCUGUCUCCGACUAAGCUGUCCACAAGUCUGCUUGGAGGCUGUGACUCAUUCUGAGGAAAAGGAGUGCCCUGUAUUCUGGAGGAGGCUGCUUUCUCCAAACAGGAGAUCUGUGGCCAAGAAAGGAAAUGAAGCAAUCCAAGACUGAUCAGCAACCGUGGGGCAGGCGAAGCUAGACAUCCCCGCCACCCCCAACUCUUUCUGUUUAAUAUUUGCCCUGUGCCCUCAAGGAACAAACAGCACUGAAGAACUGGAUUCUCGUGAGAAGGGAAUCAGGCCCUAUCUUGGGCCCUCUCUGGACCUUCAUUUGCCCAUCUCGAAGGUGUAGGGGUGGACUGGACAGGGAGGAAACUGGCAGCCAACUCAUGUCCCAACUCAGCCUAUAGCUGCAUUUUAUCUUACUCACAGUUAGAAAAACAAUUAAAUUUAGAUGCCUUUGCACAAGGCUCUUUUCCCCAGUUCGACCUAGCCACUACCAUUUCCUGCCAUCUUAUCCUAAGUCAGCUUCACAAAUUCAGGCUCCCUGCCUGCCCUUUGAAGUUAUUUGAAAUGGCAACUCCAGCACUAGCAGCAACCAAGUCCCUUCCAGCUCUGGGGUCCAGGAUUCUAUGCCUUAGAGAAACAGUGAGUAGAAGCAGGGCGAGCAGGCUGCAAUGGGAUGAGAAGGAGAUGAUCCUUAGUCUCAGGAUGCUACAGAGGGUGAGUGUGGCAGCAUGCCAGGGCUGAGCAUCUGCCAGGCAGCACCAUCACGGCUUAGGGAGAACUCAAAACAGCCUUUUUUUACAGCCUCCUGGUGCAUCCUGUUUCUCUGGUACUGCUGCCACCAGCAAGUGGGCACCAUGUCCACCCUGCAGUGGGCAGUGAGGGGGCUAGGUACCGAUCUGUCCCGUCCCCUAAGCAGGUGCUGGGAAGAUGGCGCCUGAGCUCAGGCUGCCCCCUGCUGGGUGAGCACAGAAGCUGCUGUGGGGUCUGAGACCACAGAAAAUCCCGUGGGGGAAGGAGGCACCGUCUCUCAGGUUCUCCACAUUGGUGAGGUGGGAAUGGCUUGGUUGUGUGGGCUGCUGCAUCCCUGCCACCUUCCAAAGAAGACUCAGUCUCUAGGAAGCUGGCCUCGGGUCAUGCCUAAUUGUCCUCCUGGGAGUCAUCAUCAUGGUUACUGUCAUUUAAUGUUGCCUAAGAAAAAGCAUUUGGUCCAACCCUCUACCAGUACAUCUAAGGACCAGUCCCUACUGGGGAGCCUGUAUCAAACAGCUGUGCCCAUGGAGCCUGUAUUCCUGAGGAGAAGCGUGAAGAAGCCACAGCAGCCACUGUUGGUACCUGCCCAGAUCCACUCAUCAUCUCUUCUGCAUGUUUAAGGCUGCUCACUUGAUCUCAUUAUACUCUGCUUAGGGCCGCCUUCUGAUGGCAGAAGUGAACUUGGCCUAUAAAGGGCAAGCCAGAAGUACCAGAUAGUCAAUGCCCAUGAAAAUAUCCCUUCAUGACAGAUGGGAAGUUGGUAGAUAAACACAAUUCCCUUACUCCUUGAUAGGGUAACUGGGUUAUGUUCUGUAAAGUCCCCCACAGGUCCCCAGUGGGACUGAGUCCCAGUUGCCCAGAGUGGUAACUCACUUGAUAAUGCACCUUUUAUUGGCUGCCUUCCUCUCUAUGUCUCCCUUCUCCAUUCGUCUACCGGUAUUUCUGGAAUCAAAUUCAAAUUACCAUCUGCAUUCAAAUUCUGAGUUGGCUUCUGGAAAAAUGGAAACUAAGAACAGAAAUCCAGUGCAUAGGCCAGGUGCGGUGGCUCACGCCUGUAAUCCCAGCACUUUGGGAGGCUGAUAUGGAGAUCACCUAAGGUCAGGAGUUUGAGACCAGCCCGACCAACAUAGUG